rnacentral:misc_RNA from 1 species
GCGGGGUGAUCCAGAGUGUCCCCCGUUGUCUGCCGGAGGCAGAGCCGUACUCCUCGCGAGCACGGACCAGCGGCGGUUGGAGUGGAGCCAUAAGGCUGGCCUGGACGGUACGUCGGGUCGGGCUCGCCCGCUCGACGACUUAUAGACUGGCUUCCCGGUGCUCGACUCCGACCGAGGAAGGAGGGCAGCUUUUGCCCGGUGUGGUGCACGCCGUAUGGCGGGGCCUCCCGCCGAGGGCGAGCCGCGCUUUGUGGACUGCAAGCAGUGCUCACUGUGACGGCGGACCCACGGUCGGUGAGCGUCACUUGUGCACCAGUGCUGCUGGUAUUGGGAC